rnacentral:rRNA from 1 species
UACGAAGGGUGCAAACGUUGCUCGGAAUCAUUGGGCGUAAAGCGCACGUAGGCGCCUUGCAAGUCGGAUGUGAAAUCCCACGGCUCAACCGUGGACGUGCAUCCGAAACUGCUCGGCUCGAGUAUGGAAGAGGGUCGCGGAAUUCCCGGUGUAGAGGUGAAAUUCGUAGAGUAUACAAGCAGAACACCUGUGGCGAAGGCGGCCUUCUGGACGAUGACUGACGCUGAGACGCGAAAGCGUGGGGAGCAAACAGG